UGGGAGACAUAUCUAGGCUUCCUGACUUUAUGAGGAUAAUAACUGACUAGAAAGUCCCAACAUUUACUUUUCCUCCUAGCCUAUCUCAUCCCAUGUCACCAGGGCAAGGCAGACUAGGAAACUUCCCCGUGGAAUAAGCCAUACUAGAAAGUCAACAGAGGAAACAGAGAACAUUGUAACAGAAGAGAGGAUCCAGAAACAAUGGAGAAGACGGUCAUUUGGUGUCCCUAACAUGGGCCAUUUCCUUGUGGUUCUCUGGUGUUGCAUAACUCUGUAUCUUUUUGCAGCCCUUAUGAAGAGAAGGCUCAGUGGGGUGGUGAAUACUGGUCUAGGUGCCUAGGGGGCUGACCUCGUAUUACUGACUUAGCGAACCCUUGCCUUGGGUCCUCGUAAUUUUGUCUUUCUAGGCUUCUUCCUGAUCUUUCCCAGUUUUCUCAUAUGUCCUGAAUAACAUGUGACUCAUAACUGGCCCUCUGGAGACUUUGAGGAGCAUUUUGUAAUAACUGUGCCUACAUUGGUCACCUCUGUGAAAUCGGUUGGGGGCUUUGAACUAUUGAAUCAUUUGUUUUUAUGUUGGGCCACCUAAGAGGGUGUUGGCUACACUAAUACAUAAGGCUUUCCUUUCCCAUGUGGUUCCUGGCUCCUAACUUCUUGUGAUACCUCAGAGUAUAUCCCCCUAAAAUUUGUUUUGACCACCCAACUGCCAGCUAGAACCAAGACUUUGAUAUCCUGGGUGGCAAGAUUUAAUAAGUAGAUUUUAUUAAUUCCUAGAUGAUAAAACUUAAAUCUCAGAUGCAUUUAAAAAUGUGUCAUGUAUUAUUUUAGGCAUGUGAGCUAUGAAAUAAUGGCAAUAAUGAUGUGUUUAAAACCAUUAAAUCAUGUAGCUGGCUGAAAAUGUUCCAUAAAAUAGAGUGAGAGCAAUAACUGUAGGUCAGAGUGAAUUCUGAAAGAUGACCACACAGGGACCAGGCAGGCUUUAGGACAUGAACACGCUCUGAGGCAGAAAUCAUUUUAAUGGAAUUUCCUGAGGUUCACAGAAAAUUUACGUAGUUCAUAAAACAAAGAUAGUAAGAAGGUCCAGACAUUCAACAGUUGAAGCAGAGUUCAAACGGGACAGCAUACUAAGACAGUCCUGCCAUAAGUCAAUCAGUGUUCCACAAGUUCUGUGUGUAAA
rnacentral:lncRNA from 1 species